AGUAGCCGCGGGAAUACGAAGGGGGCUAGCGUUGUUCGAGAUCACUGGGCGUAAAGCGCACGUAGGCGGAUCUUUAAGUCAGGGGUGAAAUCCCGAGGCUCAACCUCGGAACUGCCUUUGAUACUGGGGAUCUGGAGUCCGGGAGAGGUGAGUGGAACUGCGAGUGUAGAGGUGAAAUUCGUAGAUAUUCGCAAGAACACCAGUGGCGAAGGCGGCUCACUGGCCCGGUACUGACGCUGAGGUGCGAAAGCGUGGGGAGCAAACAGGAUUAGAUACCCCGGUAGUCCCUGUCUCUUAUACA
rnacentral:rRNA from 1 species